GGGCGUAUGGUCUAGAGGUAUGAUACCUGCUUUGGGUGAAUGUAUAUCCAGUUGCAGGGGGUCUUCGGUUCGAAUCCGGAUUCGCCCC